rnacentral:rRNA from 1 species
AUUGAACGCUGGCGGCAGGCUUAACACAUGCAAGUCGAGCGAGCGGCGGACGGGUGAGUAAUGUCUGGGCAACUGCCUCUUGGAGGGGGAUCACUACUGGCAACGGUCGCUAAUACCGCAUACCCUCAGUUGUGCCCAGAUGGGAUUAGCUAGGUGGCGGGGUAAUGGCUCACCUAGGCGACGAUCCCUAGCGGGUCUGAGAGGAUGACGAGCCACACGGGAACUGAGACACGGUCCAGACUCCUACGGGAGGAAGAAGUGGGGAAUAGUGGACAAGGGGCGAAAGCCUGAGGCAGAAAUGCCGCGUGUGGGAAGAAGGCUUUCGGGUUGUAAAGCACGUUAAGCGAGGAGGCGUUACUCGCAGAAGAAGCACCGGCUAACUCCGUGCCAGCAGCCGCGGUAAUUC